CGAAUGAACCAUGUCUCCUGGUGUUCACACCUGUAGUUCUCUUCAUGUUGACUCUGGACUUGGUCAGUGGGACGUUAGCAAGUGUGAAAUGCAAGGAGGAACUUAGUAAGUGCUUGCACACUGGAGUUGAUCUUCUUGGAACACUUGUUCUUAGAAUCCACCUGCCCGGUAAAGAAGCUCAAACUAGGCGUGUGGGGGAUGUGGGGAGAGAGAGAUCACCACCCCCAGCCACCCGCACUAAGGCUCCAGACAUGUGAGUGAAGUCAUCUUGGGCGUUCCAGCCCCCAACACCGUCUGACGGCAAGCACACGAAGGACUUCAGGGGAGAUCAGCAGAAGAACCGCCCAGCUGAGUCCCUAUCAACCCACAGAAUCGUGGCCUAAUAACAUGGUUGUUGUUUAAAUCCACUAAGUUUGUUUUAUAGCAAUAGAUAACCGAAACACUGGGUUAAAAAACACACUUAUUUAACUCAGUUUAAUGUAUGAGCAUUAACUGGUUUUUCAUAUCUGAGAAAUUAGUAUUUUUGGACCUGGUUCAAGCUAUUUAUCAGUAGAUUCUUGACUAUUAUUUACAUCCCUAAUUUAGUCCACCUUCAAAGUGGAGUGUUGCAUUUGGGGUAUGUCCAUUUCAUUAAGGAAAAAGUUCUGAAAAGAGUAUUUGUCCCUUUCUCGUUAGGGCCCCAAGAUCCAGAAAGGCCCAUGGGAGGAAGUGGCCUGGUAAGGAUGUUUAUUUCUGCAGCUUGCGUACACGCGGAACCUGGAAGAAUUUAUAAAUCCAUCAUCUGAAGUCAUUAGGCGACAUGUUGUGGCAUUUGCAUAUCAGCAUAGCCUCUCAAAUCUUAUGUGUAAAUUUUAAGUAGAGCUAAUUUCCUACCAUAAAAUGAUAUGAGAGGACCCAAUGGCAUGUUGAAAACAUCAGUGUCAAACCAGAGCAUCUAGCUUUAUAUUUCAGAAAAACUACCCAAGGGAGUGAUUUGGAAGAAUAGAUUACAAUGGAGAAAAACUAGAGAUGGAGACAGCGGUGAGGAAGUCAGCGUAGAAAUCCAUAAAAGAGAGCAAGGAAGUUCUGUACUGGAGCAGCAGAAACGAGAGCUUGGAGAAAAGGAUCCUUAUGGAGGUAUCUUGAGGUAGGAACAGGCAUG